rnacentral:lncRNA from 1 species
UGACUAUUGAACUGUAAUUAUUGAGCCUUGUGAGUUGUGCAUUGUAGAACUGCUAGGUUGGGCUGAUUUCUGUGAAAGUUGUAGUAUGAGGAGGUUCGAUUGGAAUGUAAGGGGUAUUCAAUUUCUAGGUAGAUGCCUUGUUUAUUAGGUUGCACUCCUUAUUUCUACACUUGUGUAGGUUCCGAGCCCGGUUUAGCGUGAUCGUCCUUCUUCUCUUACCUUUU